rnacentral:misc_RNA from 1 species
GAUGAAGAACGUAGCGAAAUGCGAUACUUGGUGUGAAUUGCAGAAUCCCGUGAACCAUCGAGUCUUUGAACGCAAGUUGCGCCCGAAGCCACUAGGCCGAGGGCACGCCUGCCUGGGCGUCACACGCCGUUGCCCCCCCAUCUACUCCUUCGGGAUUGCGGGGGGGCGGAUGAUGGCCUCCCGUGCGCCUAGCCGCGCGGUUGGCGUAAAUACCAAGUCCUCGGCGACGCACGCCACGACAAUCGGUGGUUGCGAAACCUCGGUUGCCCGUCGUGUGCGUUCGUCGCGCAUCGAGGGCUCGAAAAAAUGCUCGGCUCCGGCUGGGCUUUCAACGCGACCCCAGGUCAGGCGGGGUUACCCGCUGAAUUUAAGCAUAUCAAUAAGCGGAGGA